rnacentral:rRNA from 1 species
GACGAACGCUGGCGGCGUGCUUAACACAUGCAAGUCGAACGGAAAGGCCUGCUUUCCCUUGUGGAUUGCGGGUACUCGAGUGGCGAACGGGUGAGUAACACGGGAGUGAUCUGCCCCCAACUUGGGUAUAAGCCUGGGAAACUGGGUCUAAUUCCCGAUAGGACUGCAGGGUGGUGCCUGUGGUGGAAAACGAUUUUCUAGUGGUUGGGGAUGAGCUCGCGGCCUAUCAGCUUGUUGGUGGGGUAAUGGCCUACCAAGGCGGCGCCGGGUAGCCGGCCUGAGAGGGUGGACGGACACAUUGGGACUGAGAUACGGCCAAGACUCCUACGGGAGGCAGCAGUGGGGAAUAUUGCACAAUGGGCGGAAGACUGAUGCAGCGACGCCGCGUGGGGGAUGACGGCCUUCGGGUGUAAACUCCUUUCGACCGCGAGGAAGCCAACUGGUUGGAAGGGUGGUGACGGUAGUGGUAGAAGAAGCACCGGCUAACUACGU